rnacentral:rRNA from 1 species
CCAGUGNCCCGUUAAAACACUGUUUAUUA